UAAGUUUUAUUCUUAUUUUAGUACUUCGUUAAUUUAUUUUAUUUAAAUUAAUUUAUAUAGAAGGGGUAAAAGAAAUGUUUGAUUUCAGCUUAAUUUUUUACGUUAUUAUUAAAAUUGUAUGAAAGCUAAGGCGUGAUAUAAAUAAUUUAAUUAAAUAUUAAAUUAGUUAAAAAGUAAAGGUAAAUUAUGAAACUUUAUAGUCUCAGCAUAAAAUAUUAUAAGCAAUAUAUUAAAGUAUGAUAUAGUAGUAAUAAUCUAAGUCUGAUUAAUAUUUGUGCCAGCAUUCGCGGUUAUACUUUAAGAUUAAGUAAAAAUUCAAGGUUAUAGUUAAAUAGGUAAUUAAUAAAAUAUAUAAGUAAUAAAGGGUAAAAUCGGAAUAUUAUUUUGUAUAAAAAAAAAUUCUAAUUGAAGCUAAAAAAGUUUAGUAAUAAACUAGGAUUAGAUACCCUAUUAUUCUAAAAUAAAAUAAUCUAGACCAAAUUAGUAAGAGAUAAAUACUUAAAAUUUAAAAAAUUUGGCGGCAAUUUAAUCUUUUCAGAGGAACCUGUUUUGUAAUCGAUAAACCACGAAAAAUCUUACUUGUUCUUGUAAAUAAAACAGUUUGUAUACCAUCAUUAUCAGAUAAUUCUUAGAGGAGAAAUUAUUAAAUUUGGUUGUUUAGUUAAAUUAGAUCAU
rnacentral:rRNA from 1 species